ACUCCUGCGGGAGGCAGCAGUGGGGAAUUUUGGACAAUGGGCGAAAGCCUGAUCCAGCAAUGCCGCGUGAGUGAAGAAGGCCUUCGGGUUGUAAAGCUCUUUUGUCAGGGAAGAAACGGUGAAAGCUAAUAUCUUUUGCUAAUGACGGUACCUGAAGAAUAAGCACCGGCUAACUACGUGCCAGCAGCCGCGGUAAUACGUAGGGUGCAAGCGUUAAUCGGAAUUACUGGGCGUAAAGCGUGCGCAGGCGGUUUUGUAAGUCUGAUGUGAAAUCCCCGGGCUCAACCUGGGAAUUGCAUUGGAGACUGCAAGGCUAGAAUCUGGCAGAGGGGGGUAGAAUUCCACGUGUAGCAGUGAAAUGCGUAGAUAUGUGGAGGAACACCGAUGGCGAAGGCAGCCCCCUGGGUCAAGAUUGACGCUCAUGCACGAAAGCGUGGGGAGCAAACAGGAUUAGAAACCCCUGUAGUCCCAU
rnacentral:rRNA from 1 species